AGAGUUUGAUCAUGGCUCAGGAUGAACGCUAGCGGCAGGCUUAAUACAUGCAAGUCGAGGGGUAGCACAGGUAGCAAUACUGGGUGGCGACCGGCAAACGGGUGCGGAACACGUACGCAACCUUCCUUUAAGUGGGGAAUAGCCCAGGGAAACUUGGAUUAAUACCCCUUAAUAUUAUUGAGUGGCAUCACUUGAUAAUUAAAGCUCCGGCGCUUAAAGAUGGGCGUGCGCCUGAUUAGGUAGUUGGCGGAGUAACAGCCCACCAAGCCUACGAUCAGUAACUGGUGUGAGAGCACGACCAGUCACACGGGCACUGAGACACGGGCCCGACUCCUACGGGAGGCAGCAGUAAGGAAUAUUGGUCAAUGGACGCAAGUCUGAACCAGCCAUGCCGCGUGGAGGAUGACGGCCCUCUGGGUUGUAAACUCCUUUUAUCUGGGAAGAAAUGCAUUUUUUCUAAAAUGUUUGACGGUACCAGAGGAAUAAGCACCGGCUAACUCCGUGCCAGCAGCCGCGGUAAUACGGAGGGUGCAAGCGUUAUCCGGAUUCACUGGGUUUAAAGGGUGCGUAGGUGGAGUGGUAAGUUAGUGGUGAAAUCUCCAAGCUUAACUUGGAAACUGCCGUUGAUACUAUCAUUCUUGAAUAUCGUGGAGGUGAGCGGAAUAUGUCAUGUAGCGGUGAAAUGCUUAGAUAUGACAUAGAACACCGAUUGCGAAGGCAGCUCACUACACGAUCAUUGACACUGAGGCACGAAAGCGUGGGGAGCAAACAGGAUUAGAUACCCUAGUAGUCC
rnacentral:rRNA from 1 species